GGGGGCGCGGAUCUGUUGAUCGAGGCUCGGCAGUGGUCGGAGUUCGGCCUCUGUAGGAGUCCGGGAGGGGUCCUCCUUUCGGUUGAGGUCGUGGGUGGAGUCCGGCUCCUGUAAGAGUCAGAACCCUCAGCAAUCAAAGUUAAAGAUGAAGUCCGGCUCCCGUAGGAGUCCGGACGAAGCUUACCAGCAGCUGAAACUGAGGUCGGAGCCCGGCUCCC
rnacentral:lncRNA from 1 species